CGGAGGGUGCAAGCGUUAUCCGGAUUCACUGGGUUUAAAGGGUGUGUAGGCGGGCAGUUAAGUCAGUGGUGAAAUCUCCAGGCUCAACCUGGAAACUGCCAUUGAUACUAUCUGUCUUGAAUUCUGUUGAGGUGGGCGGAAUACAUCAUGUAGCGGUGAAAUGCUUAGAUAUGAUGUAGAACACCGAUUGCGAAGGCAGCUCACUAAGCAGCGAUUGACGCUGAGGCACGAAAGCGUGGGGAUCAAACAGGAUUAGAUACCCUGGUAGUCCACGCCCUAAACGAUGAUUACUCGACAUACGCGAUACACAGUGUGUGUCUGAGCGAAAGCAUUAAGUAAUCCACCUGGGAAGUACGACCGCAAGAUUG
rnacentral:rRNA from 1 species